AGAGACUGCACAUGGGAAAAUUGAACUGUUAAACAAUAUAAUCCGGACAUGUUCGAAGUAAGACGCAGUUCUAGCCUAUACGAUUUGAUGCGGAUUAUCCAUUACGUCAGCAACUGUAACACCAGCAUUAACACGGUCAAUCUCUGGUAUAAGGGACUGCAGAAAACUAAAGUCGUCAACCGGCUGUUCUCCUAAUGUCUUUAAACAGUUUAGCUAUAGGAGCGGCGUGGCAUGGUCGGGAUCGGCAGCUAUUGGGGCACCUUGUGUUGAAAGGUAACUGCUGUACCUGGUUAAUUUUAUUAGAUCCGAU
rnacentral:lncRNA from 1 species